rnacentral:rRNA from 1 species
GGGCCCGCACAAGCGGUGGAGCAUGUGGUUUAAUUCGAUGCAACGCGAAGAACCUUACCAGGCCUUGACAUCCUUGGAACUUUCUAGAGAUAGAUUGGUGCCUUCGGGAACUCAGACACAGGUGCUGCAUGGCUGUCGUCAGCUCGUGUCGUGAGAUGUUGGGUUAAGUCCCGCAACGAGCGCAACCCUUGUCCUUAGUUGCCAGCCUUAAGUUGGGCACUCUAAGGAGACUGCCAGUGACAAACUGGAGGAAGGCGGGGACGACGUCAAGUCAUCAUGGCCCUUACGACCAGGGCUACACACGUGCUACAAUGGUAGGUACAGAGGGCAGCUACACAGCGAUGUGAUGCGAAUCUCAAAAAGCCUAUCGUAGUCCAGAUUGGAGUCUGCAACUCGACUCCAUGAAGUAGGAAUCGCUAGUAAUCG